UACGAAGGGGGCUAGCGUUGUUCGGAAUUACUGGGCGUAAAGGGCGCGUAGGCGGUGUGUCAAGUCAGGCGUGAAAGCCCCGGGCUCAACCUGGGAACCGCGCUUGAGACUGGCACGCUCGAGUUCGGGAGAGGAUGGUGGAAUUCCCAGUGUGGAGGUGAAAUUCGUAGAUAUUGGGAAGAACACCGAUGGCGAAGGCAGCCAUCUGGACCGACACUGACGCUGAGGCGCGAAAGCGUGGGGAGCAAACAGG
rnacentral:rRNA from 1 species